rnacentral:lncRNA from 1 species
CCGGGGAAGGCACAGGGAGAACCUAAAGUUAGGAUGUAGAAAUGCCUGCUUCAAGGUGGUGCUCUCAGCGCUCAAGUAGGCCAGGCUGCUCUGAGACAGGAAAUCCAGACCACGUGGACUCCUGAUGUUUAGGGAAAGGCAAAAGGAGUCUGUGCUCCAGAGAACUGGGCUUUCAAGGUCCCCAGGGGAGAAGGCAUAAGGAGAACGCAGCUGAGGUGUCCUUUCCAGGGAAAUACAACUUGUGUUUGGCCUUGUAAUAGUUUUGCUGGAGACAAUGUCGAGGCUAUUUCCCCACUGGGAUUUUGGAUUAUUUAUGGAGUGCCAGUUUCUCAUACCCCUUUAUCCUUCUGGAUAAUUAUGAGUUAGGAUUUCUACCAGAGGAUCCAAAUGAAAAUAACCAGCCC